UACAGAGGUCUCAAGCGUUGUUCGGAUUCAUUGGGCGUAAAGGGUGCGUAGGUGGCAUGGUAAGUCGGAUGUGAAAUCCCGGGGCUCAACCCCGGAACUGCAUUCGAUACUGCUGAGCUAGAGUACUGGAGAGGAGAUUGGAAUUUACGGUGUAGCAGUGAAAUGCGUAGAUAUCGUAAGGAAGACCAGUGGCGAAGGCGGAUCUCUGGACAGUUACUGACGCUGAGGCGCGAAAGCUAGGGGAGCAAACGGG
rnacentral:rRNA from 1 species